GAUGAACGCUGGCGGCGUGCCUAAUACAUGCAAGUCGAGCGAACAGAUGAGGAGCUUGCUCCUCUGACGUUAGCGGCGGACGGGUGAGUAACACGUGGAUAACCUACCUAUAAGACUGGGAUAACUUCGGGAAACCGGAGCUAAUACCGGAUAAUAUAUUGAACCGCAUGGUUCAAUAGUGAAAGACGGUUUUGCUGUCACUUAUAGAUGGAUCCGCGCCGCAUUAGCUAGUUGGUAAGGUAACGGCUUACCAAGGCAACGAUGCGUAGCCGACCUGAGAGGGUGAUAGGCCACACUGGAACUGAGACAGGGUCCAGACUCCUACGGGAGGGAGCAGUAGGGAAUCUUCCGCAAUGGGCGAAAGCCUGACGGAGCAACGCCGCGUGAGUGAUGAAGGUCUUCGGAUCGUAAAACUCUGUUAUUAGGGAAGAACAAAUGUGUAAGUAACUAUGCACGGCUUGACGGUACCUAAUCAGAAAGCCACGGCUAACUACGUG
rnacentral:rRNA from 1 species